GGAUUCCCCUAGUAACUGCGAGUGAAGAGGGAAAAGCUCAAAUUUUGAAUCUGGCGGUCGUUUCUGGCCGUCCGAAUUGUAAUCUAGAGAAGUGUCUUCCGCGUUGGCCCGUGUACAAGUCUCCUGGAAGGGAGCAUCAUAGAGGGUGAGAAUCCCGUCUUUGACACGGACUACCAGGGCUAUGUGAUGCACUCUCAACGAGUCGAGUUGUUUGGGAAUGCAGCUCAAAAUGGGUGGUAAAUUCCAUCUAAAGCUAAAUACAGGCGAGAAACCGAUAGUGAACAAGUACCGUGAGGGAAAGAUCAAAAGAACUUUGAAAAGAGAGUUAAACAGUACGUGAAAUUGCUGAAAGGGAAACGCUUGAUGUCAGUCGCGUUGAUUAGGGAUCAGCCUUAUUAUGGGGUGUACUUCCUAGUCGACGGGUCAGCAUCAGUUUCGGUCCGUCGUACAAAGGCAAAGGAAAGUGACUUUACCGUCAUGGACCUUUGUCGGAUGCGGUGGUCGGGACUGAGGAAACCUCUGCACCUUCUAGUUAGUGUGUUCAGAGAUGCUGGCAUAAUGGCCUUAAGCGACCCGUCU
rnacentral:rRNA from 1 species